rnacentral:rRNA from 1 species
GUGCCAGCCGCCGCGGUAAGACGAACCGUCCAAACGUUAUUCGGAAUCACUGGGCUUAAAGGGUGCGUAGGCGGCACGGCAAGUUGGGUGUGAAAUCCCUCGGCUCAACCGAGGAAUUGCGCCCAAAACUGCCGCGCUCGAGGGAGACAGAGGUGAGCGGAACUUAGGGUGGAGCGGUGAAAUGCGUUGAUAUCCUAAGGAACACCGGUGGCGAAAGCGGCUCACUGGGUCUCUUCUGACGCUGAGGCACGAAAGCUAGGGGAGCGAACGGGAUUAGAUACCCCGGUAGUCCUAGCUGUAAACGAUGAGCACUGGGUCGGAGAGUCUUCCAUAACUUUCCGGCCGAAGCGAAAGUGUUAAGUGCUCCGCCUGGGGAGUAUGGUCGCAAGGCUGAAACUUAAAUGAAUUGACGGGG